UCAGUAACGGCGAGUGAAGCGGCAAAAGCUCAAAUUUGAAAUCUGGCACUUUCAGUGUCCGAGUUGUAAUUUGUAGAAGUAGUUUUGGGACUGGUCCUUAUCUAUGUUUCUUGGAACAGGACGUCAUAGAGGGUGAGAACCCCGUAUGAUGAGGCCCCCAGUCCUUUGUAAAACGCUUUCGAAGAGUCGAGUUGUUUGGGAAUGCAGCUCUAAGUGGGUGGUAAAUUCCAUCUAAAGCUAAAUAUUGGCGAGAGACCGAUAGCGAACAAGUACAGUGAUGGAAAGAUGAAAAGAACUUUGAAAAGAGAGUGAAAAAGUACGUGAAAUUGUUGAAAGGGAAGGGCAUUUGAUCAGACAUGGUGUUUUGCGCCCUUUGCUCCUUGUGGGCGGAGGAUACGCAGCUCACUGGGCCAACAUCAGUUUUGGGAGCAGGAUAAAUCUGUAGGAACGUAGCUUUCUUCGGGAAGUGUUAUAGCCUAUGGGAAUACUGCUACCUGGGACUGAGGACUGCGUCUUUUGACAAGGAUGUUGGCAUAAUGGUUAAAUGCCGCCCGUCUUGAAACACGGACCA
rnacentral:rRNA from 1 species